rnacentral:rRNA from 1 species
AGUACGUGAACCGUUCAGGGGUAAACCUGAGAAACCCGAAUGGUCGAACGGGGAAAUUCAUUCGCGUUUCGGAUAUCGGGGACGAGCACCCGCGUGACGGACGGGCUUCGCGUCGUCGGCUCCUUGUUGUUUUCCGAACCGGUCACGAACGCGUGCACUUUUGCCCUGGCUUGACUCCGCGAUCCGUUGGGUGACCCGCUACAGGUCGCGGUGGAGUCCGUGCGCGAUCGUCUUGUCGAUUCUCGCUCGAACCCGCGAUGUUCCGGCCGACUCCUGCCACGGGUUACACAUGGCUCGAGGCCGCUACGUAUAUUAAAUGUCCGACCCGCGGCAAGCGCGUUCCAUGCUAAGACGGCGAUCGGACCUAUCGCCUAUUCGUUUUGCGGAAGAGUGUUGGCCGUGCCGAUCGCUCUGACUGACCUCGUUCGAAACUCUGAUCUGGUACGCUAUUCCUUUGGGUACUUUCCAGACCCGUCUUGUCACACGAACG